UACGAGGGGUGCAAACGUUAUUCGGAUUUACUGGGUGUAAAGGGUGUGUAGACGGUCUGUUAAGUUCGUUGUUAAAUCUUCCGGCCUAACUGGAAGCUCGCGAUGAAAACUGGCGGACUUGAGGGUGAAAGAGAGAAGUGGAAUUCUCGGAGUAGCGGUAAAAUGCGUAGAUCUCGAGAGGAACACCGAUGGCGAAAGCAGCUUCUUGGUUCACAUCUGACGUUGAAACACGAAAGCGUGGGGAGCAAACAGG
rnacentral:rRNA from 1 species